UACAGAGGGUGCAAGCGUUAAUCGGAUUUACUGGGCGUAAAGGGCGCGUAGGUGGUUAUUUAAGUGAGAUGUGAAAGCCCCGGGCUUAACCUGGGAACUGCAUCUUAUACUGGGUAACUGGAGUGCAAUAGAGGGUAGUGGAAUUUCCGGUGUAGCGGUGAAAUGCGUAGAUAUCGGGAGGAACACCAGUGGCGAAGGCGGCGAUCUGGGAAGAUACUGACGCUGAGGAGCGAAAGCGUGGGGAGCAAACAGG
rnacentral:rRNA from 1 species